CUACGGGACGCUGCAGUCGAGAAUCUUCCGCAAUGGACGAAAGUCUGACGGAGCGACGCCGCGUGCGGGAUGAAGGCCUUCGGGUUGUAAACCGCUGUCAGUGGGGAGGAAAUGCAUCAGGGUUCUCCCUGGUGUUUGACCGAUCCGCAGAGGAAGCGCAGGCUAAGUUCGUGCCAGCAGCCGCGGUAACACGAACUGCGCGAACGUUAUUCGGAAUCACUGGGCUUAAAGAGUUCGUAGGCGGCCUUUCAAGUCGGGUGUGAAAUCCCUCGGCUCAACCGAGGAAUUGCGCCUGAUACUGUUGGGCUUGAGGGGGAUAGGGGUGAGCGGAACUGAUGGUGGAGCGGUGAAAUGCAUUGAUAUCAUCAGGAACACCGGUGGCGAAGGCGGCUCACUGGAUCUCUUCUGACGCUGAGGAACGAAAGCUAGGGGAGCGAACGGGAUUAGAUACCCUUGUAGUC
rnacentral:rRNA from 1 species